AUUGAACGCUGGCGGCAUGCCUUACACAUGCAAGUCGAACGGUAACGGGCCUUCGGGUGCCGACGAGUGGCGCACGGGUGCGUAAUACAUCGGAACGUGCCCGAUCGUGGGGGAUAACGAGGCGAAAGCUUUGCUAAUACCGCAUACGAUCUACGGAUGAAAGCCGGGGACCGCAAGGCCUUGCGCGGGCGGAGCGGCCGAUGGCAGAUUAGGUAGUUGGUGGGGUAAAAGCUUACCAAGCCGACGAUCUGUAGCUGGUCUGAGAGGAUGAUCAGCCACACUGGGACUGAGACACGGCCCAGACUCCUACGGGAGGCAGCAGUGGGGAAUUUUGGACAAUGGGCGCAAGCCUGAUCCAGCCAUGCCGCGUGCAGGAUGAAGGUCUUCGGGUUGUAAACUGCUUUUGUACGGGAAGAAAAGCCUUCUUUUAAUACAGGGGGGUCAUGACGGUACCGUAAGAAUAAGCACCGGCUAACUACGUG
rnacentral:rRNA from 1 species